UAUUUCCAAGGUGAAGGCUGACAGCUGUCAAUCAUUCUGCUCUGAUCACACACACGAAAGAUACACCUUAAACUUAACCGUAGAAUACCGCCUAACGCGGAACUGGACGCUUGUUGACCUAAAAGAAAAUCCAGUGCAGCUACAAGUAUCUGCCGUAAAAAUGAAACGGAGAAAGUGAUGUCAUGGAUAAAUAAACAACUUAUGGAAUUGGAAAUGCGAAAGAUUUCGUUAGACUUUUCAAAUUUUAAUGUGUUUUGGGUACAUUGAACUGAUUCUUAGUGACCAUUUACUAUAUUUGUAUGAAUUAAAUACGAAUGUAUUUUAUUUACAAUAUUUUAAGUUGGUAGAAUAAAAUA